rnacentral:rRNA from 1 species
CCUACGGGUGGCAGCAGUGAGGAAUAUUGGUCAAUGGACGCAAGUCUGAACCAGCCAUGCCGCGUGAAGGAUGAAGGCCUUCUGGGUUGUAAACUUCUUUUACCUGGGAAGAAACCUCAAUUUUCUAAUUGAGUUGACGGUACCAGAGGAAUAAGCACCGGCUAACUCCGUGCCAGCAGCCGCGGUAAUACGGAGGGUGCAAGCGUUAUCCGGAUUUACUGGGUUUAAAGGGUGUGUAGGCGGGCUUUUAAGUCAGUGGUGAAAUCUCCGGGCUCAACCUGGAAACUGCCAUUGAUACUAUUAGUCUUGAAUUUUGUUGAGGUAGGCGGAAUAAGUCAUGUAGCGGUGAAAUGCUUAGAUAUGACUUAGAACACCAAUUGCGAAGGCAGCUUGCUAAACAAACAUUGACGCUGAGGCACGAAAGCGUGGGGAUCAAACAGGAUUAGAUACCCUUGUAGUC